AUAAAAUUGAAAAUGGAAAUGGGGAAUGUGUCAAUGAGACAACAACCCGAUCAUAGAAAAAACAACAGCAGAAAGUCACUAACAGGUCUUCAAUGUAGCGAGAAAUUCCCGCACCCGGAGGCGUCCUUCAGCUGGCCCCUAAACAAAUAUAUACUAGUUCAGUGAUAAUGAACGCCAUACUAAUUUCCGAAUUGUACACAAGA
rnacentral:lncRNA from 1 species